GCUGCAAUAAAGGCCAAUGUCAUGACAAGAAUGUGUUCUGCAAAGUUCUUCAAAGCAACAAAGUAUCCACAUAAUAGACCAACAACUUUGUUUAACAUUUCAUAAGCAUAUACAAAUGGUAAUUUUCUCGAUAACAAAACCUAGUAACUGAGUAAAUCCCUGUUACUAUUUCUUUCAUCAUGUGAUUCAGAUAAAAACAAUAAAAGUAAAAGAUAAAACCUCUUCCUUUAUCCUUUCCUUCCCAACAUCGCAAUGACUCAAUCAAGUACUCGUAUUCCAAGUGGGAUUGCAGUUAUUAAACUGAAAAUAUGACUUCACCCCUAGAACAUAGAUUUUUUAUGUAAAACCCGACAUAAUUGUUUUACUUGAUUAAACCCCAAUAAUUAGGAUCCCCAUAAGCAUAUUCCUUAAUUAAGCUUGAAUACAAAUAUUUUACAUGUUUCCAAUGGCUAUAUUAUCCCUAAUAACAAUUGGAUUUAGACAUUUCUUUUCCUAUUCUAUAUUAUCCCUAAAUGGGUACAUUAAUGAUAUAUAAAUAGACAAACAUUAUGAAACUCAUUGAAGGCGCAAAACAAGGAGUAAAUCUUUGAUAUUGACAUGAUUGGAGAAUACUUGCAAUUUUGUAAAAUGAUUGCAACUCAUAUUAAAUUUUGGAUUUUAUUUAGAGGUUAAGAAGUGCACGGGUAUUGAACUCCCGGAAGAAAAAAAGAAAAAAUACAGGUGAGUUUACGUUUAUGAAAUAAGAGUUACAAGUCUAUAAACAACCUUUAAACCAGAAGUUCCGCCGCCAUAGUUGUCGUACUGAACAGCGUGCAUGGUCUCAUUGGCCAUAGUCUCUCAGUUGUAAGUCCAACCAACGUUCCGAAGAGCCGCAGAAACUUGAAGCUCCUCCCUCCCGGAUUCUAUCAAAUACAGAGCUUAUGCUAGUACAGCAAUAGACUCAUUAGCCCAUGUCUAUAGUGGAACAAAUAUACGCGUGAUUGAUUGAUGUUCACUGAUUGACCCUUGUCUAUUGUGGAACAAAGACACGGGAUUCAUGGGCUAUAGUGGAACAAAUAAUACGCGUUAUUCAUAAUGAUGUUGACUGAUUGACCCUUGUCUGUCGUGGAACAAAUACACGUGAUUCAUAUUGAUGUAGACAGUACAAUCAGUAUAUGGUUUACAGUACGUAUGUGGUCCACAUGUUAAAUAGACGAUCAAUAAUUACAUGGUCCCUAUGUUAAAUAGACAACACGUAAGUGGUCCAUAUGUUAAAUAUACAAUAAGUGUAUGCAGUAGCAGAACCGGGAAGAGAUGGGAAAUUCAAAAUAAUGCAAGAUUCAAUCGAAGUGGUUGCUUUUAUAUUGGAGAGUGUAAAGUUUUGAGUCAAUAUUCAUAGUAGAAAAUAGUCUCUCCACUAAAACGGUUGUAAACGGUAAUAUCAAAACCAAUGUAAUAAGCUUAAAUUGGCUAGGUUUAUAUUCUAAAAAUAGACGCUAGUCAAACAGCGGACUGGAACUUAGUAGCUAGGCGCCUAAGACAGAUCUAGGCAUGAGCCUAGUGGGAUUUAAACGAAUUUCUUUUAUCAUAAAAUAAGCAUUAAGUUGUAGGCCUAUUUGAUUGAACGAUCUAGGGUUUAGAAAGAGAGAAGGAGCCGACUAUAUUAGGAGAAGAGAGAGUGAUUUAAUCGUGAGGUGUGUUUGAUUCACACAAUUGUGCCUUUAUUUAUAGUAGUAGGAUAGGUAAAAACAUUUUCCUUUAGGAUUACAAUAUUUAAUAGGUAAUCAACCCCUGAUAUAAAUAUAAGAUACAUUCCCAGAUUCCCUAAGAUUUACACAAUCACAUUCCUAUUCUAAAUAUGACUGCAACACUUUCCCUUGUAGCUAACGGGGGGAAUACGUCUCCUCGUAAUCACUCCCAAGGCGCUGAGAGAAGCCUUGCACUACGAGGUGUGCUUUGUAUCGUACUAUUUCAUUCUUCUCAUUACGCUUCCUCACGAAAACCCACUUAUAGCCAACGGGUUUCACGAGUUGUGGUGUAGGAACGAUAGGUCCAAAUACCUUACGUUUCGCGAGCGAAUCGAGUUCAACCUGGAUUACUUGUUUCCAGUUUGACCAAUCAGUUCUACGUCGGCAUUCAUCCAUCGACGGAACGUGGUUCAAUGUCAUCACUAAGCAUGAUGUUAGUAGCUACUGAAUACGCGAAUGCAUCGUCGACGAUCAUUUCAUUCCUAUUCCAAACCUUAUCUAAUAUUGCGUAAUGGACCGAAAUCUCGUGAUUCUCAAGAGGCCGGCAUGUUUCGUCUGAAGCAUCGCCGUAAUCUAGAAUAACCUCAUGCGUUGGAUCAGAUGAGUGAGCGAUGGUCGGAUUCAAACUAGGGUCACUAGUUGGUGCCAUUUUCCUCUUCCAAGGUUGUGAAUCCUUUGAACCAAGGGGUCUGCCACGCUUCAGGAUAGAAGCAAAUGAUUGGCUAGCUGCCAAUGUACCGUACCGCGUGGAAGGUGCGGCCUCCCUACCUUCGGGGACGGUCCGGCCUUCCCAGGCAGGUUGUUGACGUACACAGGGUACAUCUAUCCUUGCAGGUAUGUUUGCAGCGAGUAUAUGUGAUAUUGUCACCUUUGCUAGAUCAUUAAAAGCAUCCAGCAUACUUUGAGCAAUGCUCUGAAAAUCUAUAAUUCGUCGCACCUCAAUUUCAGAUUGGGCAGUGCGGGGAUCUAAAUGAGACAUAGUGGGAGCAUACCACGACAAUUUGUGGCGUUCUACGAGAACGUUAGCAUGCUUAUCUCCCCCUAAUGACCGGAAGACUGUCUCAUCAAAGUGACAAUUUGCAAAACAUGUGGUAAAGAGAUCUCUUGUCAAUGGUUCAAUGUCAUCACUAAUCAUAACCGACAUAGAUUCCCAUUUUUCUCUGAGGACCCAUUUUGGUACGUAGUGACGGUGCUAUUGGCACAUAAAUGGCGCACCCAAACACCUAUAAAUGCAAGACGUCAGGCUCGUAUCCAGUGACCAACUGUAACAGUGAAUAUGGUUGAGUAGCGGUGGGCCUUAGGCGGAUCAACAUAGCUACGUGCAAUAUUGCAUAGCCCCAGGCAGAUACUAGCAGUUUGGUUCUCAUAACCAAAAUCUGAGAUAUCAAUUAAAUGCGCUUUAUGAAAGCUUAUGCCAGGCCGUUUUGGAUGUGAACAUACGGUACAGGAUGUUCCACAUCAAUCCCUAAUGACAUGCAAUAAUCGUCAAACAUCUGUGACAUAAACUCUCUAAUGUUAUCCAGUCGAAUCAACUUAAUCGGAUAAUCAGGGUGGUGAGCCCUUAGCUUAAUGAUUUGAGCUAGGAGUUUAGCAAACGCGGUGUUGCGUGUGGACAACAAGCAAACAUGUGACCAUCUUGUCGAUGCAUCAACCAACACCAUAAAUUAUCUAAAUGGUCCACAUGUUGGUUGGAUAUGUCCACAAAUGUCCCCUUGAAUCCUCUAAAGAAACUUAGGGAGGUCGUGAAUAAUCCUUUUGUAUAUAAGGGUUAAGUAUUUAACUUCCCUAAAGAGCACGCUUUGCAUGGCGGGAGUCCAGCAUAUGGAUGUAACUUAUGCCCCGUGUGCAGAUUUGAGGAUACGGCACAUCAUAUCACAUCCAGGAUGUCCCAAACGGUCAUGUCAAAGCAACAAAGUGUCCUAGAACUCAGGCAUAAGGCCGGCCACACUGUGGGCUUCUAUGCUGGGAAUGGUUAUGAUGUACAAUCCACUCGGCAGACGUUUCAACUUCUCGUAAAUAUGCUUCUGGCCAUAUUCGUAUGAAGUGAUACAUAGAAAUUCAGAACCAUUAUCUUCUGUGGUUUCAAGAUGAUAUUGAUUAUCUCGAAUAUCUCUAAAACUCAGCAACGUUCUUCCGGAACGUGGAGAAUAAAGUGCCUUGUUAAUGUUCAAGAUUGUACCAUUAGAUAACAUGAUACGUGCCUUUCCGUAUCCUGCAAUCAGGUUGGAUGAGCUUGAGAGAGUUGUAAAAUGAGCUUUCUUGGGUAUUAAGUUAGUAAAAUAAUGUCGUUCACGCAAGAUGGUGUGUGUGGUUGCACUAUCUGCCAGACAACUAACUUCCCCACUAGACAUACAUAGAAAUAAAUUGAUUAAAUUGGUCACAUGCAUAAAUAUAAGUCCAUUCAUUCAAUUAACCAAUUCGAGAAAAUAAUAUCCAUUCCAAUAACAAUCCCUAAUUCAAAACAAACCAAAACCAAACAAAUUAUUCCAAAUACUUAGAAAAAUUGUUCAAAAUUAAACCAUAAAUCUAGAAAAAUAGGGGGGGUAUGGCCAGCCACUCCUAUUGGGUUCGGCCUUUAGGGGUAAACACCCUAAAAACAUGUCUAAUUUAUUCAUCCAUAAGCGUUGACGCCUCCUGAAAAUCCGAAAUGUCCAUUGAUGUAGUUGCAUCUUCCGGAUGAUCCACAUGUGCAAAGUUAGACUCAUAACUGGAAUGAUACUUGGCAAUAGCCUCAGGGGAAGCUUGACAUAAUAGUGACCAAUGAUCAUUUGAUCCACAAUGAUAGCACAUGUCCAGUUCAGCAGAAGCAGGCUGAACGGGAGCUUUGCCCUUAUUCUUGAAGUUUAUGGCCUUAGGGGAGAGUGGUUGACGCUGCUGGGUUACAUUUCUUCCCUUAGAUGUGGCACUUUGUUGACCUUGGGCUUGUGGUUGGGUUUGCCACCCAUUGCCACAGCUACGAUGAUUCUUUCGUCAUUUAUGGCUACUAGAAUAGGUCGCAUGCGCUUCAGCUUAGGCGUUCGAGCCAAUUGAUCGAGCUUGAUGAUUCUUCAUCAAAAGCUUGGUCUGCUUUUCAGCGAUAAGUAAAACAGAGAUCAAAUCCAAAAACUUGGUGAAUUUAUGUGCCCUAUAUUUUUGCUGCAGGACAAUAUUGGUGGCAUGGAAGGUGGAAUAAGUAUUCUCCAGAAGAUCUGAUUCGGUUAGUUCCACUUUGCAGAAUUUCAACAGUGAACGGAUUCUACAAACUUCAGAGUUGUAUUCAUUCACAUACUUAAAGUCCUGGAAGUGAAGAUGUUGCUAGUCGUGUCUUACUUCAGUAUGUCUUUCUGGCGAUCAAAACGGUCGGCCAGAGCAAGCCAAAGGGUGCGUUGGUCCUCCUCAGCGAGAUACUCAGUCUGCAGUGCAUCAUGGAUGUGCCUUCGAAUGAAGAUCAUUGUAGAAGCCUUCUAAGCUUUGUCAACAGGUUUGUCGGUGGUAGGUGCCUCGAUGGUGGCUCUGAUGCCCUUUGCAGUCAGAUGGAACUUCAUGUCUUGAACCCACUUCAGAUAGUUUCUUCCAGAAAAUUCUAGAGCAGAGAAAUCGAGCUUGUUUAAGUUCCACAUGUCCCUAAAACAGAAGGAAAAACGUGAGUAGUCAUAUGGUAAGCUAUAAACAUAUAUCGUAAAACAUACAGGUUCUAUAGGCAUGUACUGGUUUAAUUGAUGCAUGAAAACUACAGGUUUCAUGUGGUAUGUUUUGAAUAAAAACUGCGGGUUUCAAAGGUACUAAAUUUGAAAUUACAAGUUCAAUUUAGUUUUAUGAACAAUUAGUUCAUAAUGAGAUGUUCCUGCAAGAAACACAGAAUGCAAUAUACUAAUUUGAAUAUAGUGGAUUUGAGGUUCUUCGAGAACUCAAGUGUGAGAGCGUCGUUACUACGAAAGUAUGUGAUGGUUCAAAGUAAAAAAAUAAAUUAUUGAAUCGUUAAUGUCCAAAAGUGAUCUUUAGGUCAAUAAUUUUGGAUUCAUUAUUAUAUUAAUGGACUGCAUGACUCAAUCAAGUACUCGUAAUCCAAGUGGGAUUGCAGUUAUUAAAUUGAAAAUAUGACUUCACCCCUGGAACAUAUAUUUUUCAUCUAAAACCCGACAUAAUUGUUUUACUUGAUUAAAACCCAGUGAUUAGGAUCCCCAUAAGCAUAUUCCUUAAUGAGCUUGAAUUCAAAUAUUUUACAUGUUUCCAAUGGCUAAAUUAUCCCUAACAAUAUAUCAAGUUUUUUUUUUUUAACAAACAAUAUUUUUUACACUAAAGGAGGGGUGAACUUAGCCUCAUAAUGAGCUAGCAAUAAUGAGGUCUAAAUUUGCCUUUGGCGAAAAUUGAAGGUAAGACCUCUCUCUUUAACAAUUGUUCUUGCUUCUUAUUUUUUGUUUGAAAUUGAUUUAUUAUAUGCCACUAGGUAAAUUUGUGCUUGUAAAUAUAGAUAAAUUAGUGUAAAUAUAGGUAAAUUAGUGUAUUUCUUAUGUGAUGUCAUAAAAUAAUGUAUCUAUUCUUUUCUCACCCUUUAGUUGUAAUACUUCGUUGUAUGAAAAUAAUGUGCUUAUAUUGUGUCGGUAGGUAAUUAUUGCACAUGAAAAUGCAGGUAAAUAACUUAUAUAUACCAUAUAAGUAAAUUAGUGAAUCAACAAAUUCUAAAUGGGUACAUUAAUGAUAUAUAAAUAGACAAAACAUUAUGAAACUCAUUGAAGGCGCAAAACAAGGAGUAAAUCAUCCAUAUUGACAUGAUUGGAGAAUACUUGCAAUUUUGUAAAAUAAUUGCAGUAAUCGGUCAACUAUUUCUCUAGCUUGCAACUCAUAUUAAAUUUUGGGUUUUAUUUAGAGGUUAAGAAGUGCACGGGUAUAUUGAACUCCCGAAAAAAAAAAAAAAAAAAAAAAAACAAACAAACAG
rnacentral:lncRNA from 1 species